rnacentral:pre_miRNA from 1 species
ACAUGAAUUUGGAGAUUUUGUUAAAAUGCAGAUUCUGAUUCAGUGGUUCUGGAUAGAGCUAAGAAUCUGCAUUUUUAGUAAGUACUCAGAUAAGGCCUGU